GACGAACGCUGGCGGCGUGCUUAACACAUGCAAGUCGAGCGGUAAGGCCCUUUCGGGGGUACACGAGCGGCGAACGGGUGAGUAACACGUGGGUGACCUGCCCUUAGCUCUGGGAUAAGCCUGGGAAACUGGGUCUAAUACCGGAUAUGACUCCAUGACGCAUGCUGUGGGGUGGAAAGCCUUGUGCGGCUAGGGAUGGGCCCGCGGCCUAUCAGCUUGUUGGUGGGGUGANGGCCUACCAAGGCGACGACGGGUAGCCGGCCUGAGAGGGCGACCGGCCACACUGGGACUGAGACACGGCCCAGACUCCUACGGGAGGCAGCAGGUGGGGAAUCUUGCGCAAGUGGGCGAAAGCCUGACGCAGCGACGCCGCGUGGGGAUGACGG
rnacentral:rRNA from 1 species